UACAGGGGGGGCAAGCGUUGUUCGGAAUUACUGGGCGUAAAGGGCUCGUAGGCGGCCAACUAAGUCACACGUGAAAUCCCCAGGCUUAACCUGGGAACUGCGUGUGAUACUGGAUGGCUUGAAUUCGGGAGAGGGAUGCAGAGUUCCAGGUGUAGCGGUGAAAUGCGUAGAUAUCUGGAGGAAUACCGGUGGCGAAGGCGGCAUCCUGGACCGACAUUGACGCUGAGGAGCGAAAGCUAGGGGAGCAAACGGG
rnacentral:rRNA from 1 species